rnacentral:rRNA from 1 species
CUUGAACGCUGGCGGCAGGCCUAACACAUGCAAGUCGAACGGUAACAGGAAGAAGCUUGCUUCUUUGCUGACGAGUGGCGGACGGGUGAGUAAUGUCUGGGAAACUGCCUGAUGGAGGGGGAUAACUACUGGAAACGGUAGCUAAUACCGCAUAACGUCGCAAGACCAAAGAGGGGUACCUUCGGGCCUCUUGCCAUCGGAUGUGCCCAGAUGGGAUUAGCUAGUAGGUGGGGUAACGGCUCACCUAGGCGACGAUCCCUAGCUGGUCUGAGAGGAUGACCAGCCACACUGGAACUGAGACACGGUCCAGACUCCUACGGGAGGCAGCAGUGGGGAAUAUUGCACAAUGGGCGCAGGCCUGAUGCAGCCAUGCCGCGUGUAUGAAGAAGGCCUUCGGGUUGUAAAGUACUUUCAGCGGGGAGGAAGGGAGUAAAGUUAAUACCUUUGCUCAUUGACGUUACCCGCAGAAGAAGCACCGGCUAACUCCGUG